UUCACAACAUGAGAUUUUAGAGGUUUUCAAUAGACAAAUCGGCUUUAGUUCGCCCAAAAAGUUCUCUCACAGAAUUUCCUCUUCCAAGUCGAAUACACCGAAAGAACUCGAGCCUUUGUUAAAUUACAAACUGCUGGAGGAACUUGGUUAGCAUCUCGCAUAGAAGGAAGAGUGGUUUUUACCACCAAUGUUCGUGAAAUAAGUAAACUUACAUCUUUGGUCCCUUCAUUUGUAAUCUCCACAACAUUAAUACCACUUUUCUAAAUUAAGAUGAAAUGACCACAUGUGGGUUUGGUGUUGAUGUUAAUAGACGCUUUUGUGUUCCUAUCUUUCCCAUUUACGGUUCCAAAUAUGGAAAAAUAUAAUAUGAAAUAUUUCCGUUUUUUUAUAUUUUGAUUACUUAAUUGGUGUAGUACUAAACUAGAGAUGAAAAAAUAUACAACCAUUAGUGUGUUUAGGUUUUUAGGUAAAAAUGAUAUGACCAGGUGUGAUUGAUACUGUAUUGUUUCAUUGUCAAAUUUUUUGGUGUACUUUUAUUUGGGUUAAGUAACAUGUUAGGGAAAAGGCGGUGGCUGAGAAGGAACGAUAAAGGGUUUAACGGGAGAUAGGUUUCGGUUGAGAAAAUGGUGGAUGUAAUAAAAGAGGAUGCGUUCAUUUGGCUAAAGAAUAGGUCCAAAUCCAAGUUGAGAUUUUGUUGUGGAUAAAUGGUUAAAUUUUGCUGUUUUAGAGCUACUGUAAUUUUGUUUCAGUUGCUAGCGCCAGCAUCCGUAAUAAAAUGUAGUUAAACAAGCCGUUCAUUCCUACAUUCGUUAUAAAAUAUAAUUUGUAUUGUUUA